ACCCUAGAACAAUUAAUUCAGGCCUCAGUAGUUUUCCAAGUUCUCCAGGUGAUUCCAAUAUGCAGCCAGGGCUAAGAACUUCUACUCCAAGCAGUUUCAACAGUUCCUCAUGACCUACCCUACAAGAUUUCAGCUUGUGAAGCUGUCACUUGGAAUCCAGUACCUCAAUUCAGAGGAAAGGACAGAAGAUAGCUUCUAGGGGACAUGCCUGCACCUGGGAGUUAGAAGGAAGGAAAACCAAAGAAGGAGCCAGAGAGGCAGAUAGAGGAGUCUGCAGAAAUAUGGAGAGAGAACCAGCCUCUGCUGUUGUCUGCUGUAUUGCUCUCCAGAAUUUUCUCAGAUUGCAGAAAUCUCCCUCCUCCCGUCUAUUUAUUUU